UCAAGGAAGGGAUAAUAUAAGAGCCUUUCAAGAAUGUAGAUUUACACUAGAGAUUUAUUAAAUUUGAGGACCUGUAACAAAUCUGAGAGAAAUAGAAAGACACUAGAAUAAUGUGGUUGGUCUAAAGCACUCAAGAUUUAGAAUCAAUGGAGGCUUGUGGUCAAGUUGAGAUUUUACUUAAUUGUAGGUCUGCUGAUCACUGCCUU
rnacentral:lncRNA from 1 species